GACGAAUGCUGGCUGCGUGCUUAACACAUGCAAGUCGAACGGUGAACAGGGGCUUGCCCCUGGGAUCAGUGGCGAACGGGUGAGUAACACGUGGGCAACCUGCCCCUCACUCUGGGAUAACUCCGGGAAACCGGGGCUAAUACCGGAUACGACCAGACGCGACAUCGCGUCGGGUGGAAAGAACUUCGGUGAGGGAUGGGCCCGCGGCCUAUCAGCUAGUUGGUGAGGUAAUGGCUCACCAAGGCGACGACGGGUAGCCGGCCUGAGAGGGCGACCGGCCACACUGGGACUGAGACACGGCCCAGACUCCUACGGGAGGCAGCAGUGGGGAAUAUUGGACAAUGGGCGCAAGCCUGAUCCAGCCAUGCCGCGUGAGUGAUGAAGGCCUUAGGGUUGUAAAGCUCUUUCAGUGGGGAAGAUAAUGACGGUACCCACAGAAGAAGCCCCGGCUAACUUCGUGCCAGCCGCCGCAGUAAGAC
rnacentral:rRNA from 1 species